AUGGGGUUGUGCUUGUUGGGGUGGAGCCAAAUCAGUGUCUCCCUGCCGCCAGUUAGGGUGUUCUUCUGGGCAACUGGCGGUACGGGGGCACUGUCCGCCUAUGAGCAGGCUGCUUUGCAAGCUAUAGAAUUCUUACAGGAACGAUGUAAAUUGAGAUCGAGGAGAGAGCAAGCCAUUGCAGAGGUGAGGGGAUACGAGGGUGGGCAGAGGUCAGGCAUUGCUAACAGAUUUGCGGCGGAGUGGGAGAGCCCUACUGCUCUAGAGCCCAAAUCCCAUGACCAUGCCCCCACCUCUCCUUCGUUGAAUGAAGGGAGUCUGGUUGCUAAAAAUCCCAACAACGGUGGGUACUGA
rnacentral:rRNA from 1 species